CCUACAAAAAAAAUCCUUUUCUUUCCCUAAAAUGUCGAAACCCUACAAUUGACGAACUCCAAUGUCUCUCCGCCCCUAACUUCGUCCAUCUUCCCCAACUCCACUGGAGAACUCAUCAACCCCAACGGAAUCCGCUUGGUCCAGUUUGUUGGUUUUGCAACCAUUAUCUGUUCGGCUGAUUUUCUUUCCUCGAAGUCGUUACCACCUUCUUCUCUGCUGGAAUCUACAACAAAUUUCUGAUAAGUGUGAUUUUGGGUUUAAAUGUGCGUGUCAAUGUUGUUAAGUGUCUGUGUAUUUGUAUAUAGCUUGGAGGAAUUGAAUGUGAAUGGUCGAAAUUUGUGUGUUCAUGAAUUUGAAGUUGGAAUUGGAAUCCCUAUUGUUGAGCUUAUGUGCAUGGGUCUGAAUUGUAUGUUACUACCCUGCUGUUCAUAUGAUUUUAAGCAUUUGUGUUCUGGUUGUAUAUGCCCAGAUUACAACCCUGCUGUUGAAUUGGAAUUUGAAAUAGUAAAAUUUUACCUAUUUUUUGAGCUGAGGCUAUGAUGUAGUGGUUAGUUUCACUCUCUUGCACUGAUUUUGUAAAAUGAAAUUUGUGAGGCGCAGAUUAAAUUGGUUACUAUGUUAUUGACAUUUUUUCUUCGUGGUUGAGUGACAGCUUAUAAUGGGCAGAAAAAAUCAUGGAGUAUGUUAUAGUUGUAGACGUAUCGGUCACUUCUUCACGGAUUGCCCAAAUAAAACGUCCAUGCCCAUCGUGCAAACAUUCAUUUGUGAAGUGCUUUGAGAUGGAGAAAGAUACGAAGAACAAAGGUAAAUGGUUCAAUUGUUGUAGCGCGAACUAUGGAUAUUGCGAGUGGGUUGUAGCGGGUGAAAUGAGCAGUGAAUCAAAUUUCGUUGGCUGUACACGUACUAAGCUUCUGGCAAACAAAUUAGAUGAAGAUGUAUCCGGCAUGUUCGAAACCAUGUGUCGCCUGAGUCACGAAAAAGACGUGGAGAUUUCUGUAAAUGUGACAAUACGUAAAGGAAAGGCAAUUGCGAAAGGGGAGAAGAAAUGAAAAGGGUAUGCCUAAUUUAUUAUUGAUGUAUCAAUCUAUUGUUUAGCGUAUGUUGUAACUGCGGCAGGAUGCCUGCCUAUCAUUCGGUGAACGUUUAAUGUUAUAUUUAUAUGCAUUAAUGUGAUUACUUUAUGUGAAACUUUUUGGUUAUC
rnacentral:lncRNA from 1 species